AUACGUAUGUCGCAAGCGUUAUCCGGAUUUAUUGGGCGUAAAGCGCGUCUAGGCGGUUUAGUAAGUCUGAUGUGAAAAUGCGGGGCUCAACCCCGUAUUGCGUUGGAAACUGCUAAACUAGAGUACUGGAGAGGUAGGCGGAACUACAAGUGUAGAGGUGAAAUUCGUAGAUAUUUGUAGGAAUGCCGAUGGGGAAGCCAGCCUACUGGACAGAUACUGACGCUAAAGCGCGAAAGCGUGGGUAGCAAACAGGAUUAGAUACCCUGGUAGUCCACGCCGUAAACGAUGAUUACUAGGUGUUGGGGGUCGAACCUCAGCGCCCAAGCUAACGCGAUAAGUAAUCCGCCUGGGGAGUACGUACGCAAGGAUGAAACUUAAAGGAAUUGGCGGGG
rnacentral:rRNA from 1 species